CCUACGGGGGGCUGCAGUGGGGAAUAUUGCACAAUGGGCGCAAGCCUGAUGCAGCCGUGCCGCGUGUGUGAAGAAGGCCUUCGGGUUGUAAAGCACUUUCAGCGGGGAGGAAGGCGGUGAGGUUAAUAACCUCAUCGAUUGACGUUACCCGCAGAAGAAGCACCGGCUAACUCCGUGCCAGCAGCCGCGGUAAUACGGAGGGUGCAAGCGUUAAUCGGAAUUACUGGGCGUAAAGCGCACGCAGGCGGUCUGUCAAGUCGGAUGUGAAAUCCCCGGGCUCAACCUGGGAACUGCAUUCGAAACUGGCAGGCUAGAGUCUUGUAGAGGGGGGUAGAAUUCCAGGUGUAGCGGUGAAAUGCGUAGAGAUCUGGAGGAAUACCGGUGGCGAAGGCGGCCCCCUGGACAAAGACUGACGCUCAGGUGCGAAAGCGUGGGAGCAAACAGGAUUAGAUACCCCGGUAGUC
rnacentral:rRNA from 1 species